AUUGAACGCUGGCGGCAUGCCUUACACAUGCAAGUCGAACGGCAGCACGGGUGCUUGCACCUGGUGGCGAGUGGCGAACGGGUGAGUAAUACAUCGGAACGUACCUUAUCGUGGGGGAUAACGCAGCGAAAGCUGUGCUCAUACCGCAUACGCCCUGGGGGGGAAAGCGGGGGAUCGAAAGACCUCGCGCGAUUAGAGCGGCCGAUGCCUGAUUAGCUUGUUGGUGGGGUAAAAGCCCACCAAGGCGACGAUCAGUAGCUGGUCUGAGAGGACGAUCAGCCACACUGGGACUGAGACACGGCCCAGACUCCUACGGGAGGCAGCAGUGGGGAAUUUUGGACAAUGGGGGCAACCCUGAUCCAGCAAUGCCGCGUGAGUGAAGAAGGCCUUCGGGUUGUAAAGCUCCUUUGUCAGGGAAGAAACACCGGCUCUAACACAGUCCGGGAAUGACGGUACCUGAAGAAUAAGCACCGGCUAACUACGUGCCAGCCGCCGCCGUAA
rnacentral:rRNA from 1 species